AGUGAACGCUGGCGGUAGGCCUAACACAUGCAAGUCGAACGGCAGCACAGUAAGAGCUUGCUCUUACGGGUGGCGAGUGGCGGACGGGUGAGGAAUACAUCGGAAUCUACUUUUUCGUGGGGGAUAACGUAGGGAAACUUACGCUAAUACCGCAUACGACCUACGGGUGAAAGCAGGGGAUCUUCGGACCUUGCGCGUUAGAAUGAGCCGAUGUCGGAUUAGCUAGUUGGCGGGGUAAAGGCCCACCAAGGCGACGAUCCGUAGCUGGUCUGAGAGGAUGAUCAGCCACACUGGAACUGGGACACGGUCCAGACUCCUACGGGAGGCAGCAGUGGGGAAUAUUGGGCAAUGGGCGCAAGCCUGAUCCAGCCAUACCGCGUGGGUGAAGAAGGCCUUCGGGUUGUAAAGCCCUUUUGUUGGGAAAGAAAAGCAGCAGGUUAAUACCCCGCUGUUCUGACGGUACCCAAAGAAUAAGCACCGGCUAACUUCGUG
rnacentral:rRNA from 1 species